UACGUAGGGUGCAAGCGUUAAUCGGAAUUACUGGGCGUAAAGCGUGCGCAGGCGGUUUUGUAAGUCUGUCGUGAAAUCCCCGGGCUCAACCUGGGAAUUGCGAUGGAGACUGCAAGGCUAGAAUCUGGCAGAGGGGGGUAGAAUUCCACGUGUAGCAGUGAAAUGCGUAGAUAUCGGGAGGAACAUCAGUGGCGAAGGCGGCCAUCUGGACCAACACUGACACUGAGG
rnacentral:rRNA from 1 species